GACGAACGCUGGCGGCCGUGGCCUAAUACAUGCAAGUCGAACGCUUCUUUCUUAUCGAACGUUCGGUUCGACCAAGAAAGAGGAGUGGCGGACGGGUGAGUAACACGUGGGUAACCUGCCCUUUAGCGGGGGAUAACACUUGGAAACAGGUGCUAAUACCGCAUAAUCCUUUUUCUCGCAUGAGAGAAAAGUGAAAGACGCUUUUGCGUCACUAGAGGAUGGACCCGCGCUGCAUUAGCUAGUUGGUGGGGUAAUGGCCUACCAAGACGAUGAUACGUAGCCGACCUGAGAGGGUGAUCGGCCACAUUGGGACUGAGACACGGCCCAA
rnacentral:rRNA from 1 species